rnacentral:rRNA from 1 species
AUUGAACGCUGGCGGCAUGCCUUACACAUGCAAGUCGAACGGCAGCACGGGUGCUUGCACCUGGUGGCGAGUGGCGAACGGGUGAGUAAUACAUCGGAACAUGUCCUGUAGUGGGGGAUAGCCCGGCGAAAGCCGGAUUAAUACCGCAUACGAUCUACGGAUGAAAGCGGGGGACCUUCGGGCCUCGCGCUAUAGGGUUGGCCGAUGGCUGAUUAGCUAGUUGGUGGGGUAAAGGCCUACCGAGGCGACGAUCAGUAGCUGGUCUGAGAGGACGACCAGCCACACUGGGACUGAGACACGGCCCAGACUCCUACGGGAGGCAGCAGUGGGGAAUUUUGGACAAUGGGCGAAAGCCUGAUCCAGCAAUGCCGCGUGUGUGAAGAAGGCCUUCGGGUUGUAAAGCACUUUUGUCCGGAAAGAAAUCCUUGGCCCUAAUACGGUCGGGGGAUGACGGUACCGGAAGAAUAAGCACCGGCUAACUACGUG